GAAUAAAAUACAGCUUAAUUUGGGAAUGAUAUUCCUGUUCUUUUUCAGAGAAGAAGUUUGUUGAGGCAGAAUAUUUAUUUUUCUUAUUCCUGAGACAUCACCUUGAUGAGGAUUCUAAGAAGGAAUUUGAGGAACUCAUGAGCAUAUACUCUAAAUGGGAAUUGGAAAGAAAAGAGUACUUAGUCCAGCAUAAUUUGCUAUCAUUUAUUGGUUUUAAAAAAGGGGU